UUCUCGCCACUAUUGAUUUAAAAUCUGACACUUGUUUUCUUCAGGUCAAGUCCACCGGUGAGCAACUUUUUUUUCUUAACUGCAGAGUCAACAGGAGCAGCAUGCCUGCAGAGAACCCAGCCGAGAAGAAAAAUUACUCAGGAGAGGGUGCAUAAAAUAUAAUGUUUAAAGAUUUUUAAACUUCAACAAUAAAUCUGAAUCUGGCCUCACUCUGAAUGUUUGGCGUAACACGUACAAUACCUGAAGAUGGACUUUGGGAUACAGCCUAAUCAUCAGUCUUGCAGAGCCUCCAGAGGCAAAUCAUCAGCAUGAACACUAUUUUCUCAUGAAAUGAUAGUGUCCAGAAAGCAUGACGGCUCAGUAGGAGACCACUUCAAUGUCAAGCCAAUGGAGUGAAUUACCGCUAGCUGUAUGCAUCUGCAUCUGUGAGUGCAGCAUGAGUAGUAUGAUCUGUCAUGUCGUACCAGAUGAUAUUCCACGAGUUUAAAGUCCAGCGUUUUUCUGUUUUGAACAUGGAUGAGAGAUGUUGAAGGGAUUGUCUGGUGCAAUUACAUCACUGCUAGGAGUAGCGGGUCACUGCAGGCUAUCCGGGGAAACAAACAAACAAAAAAAAAAUUACAAUUUU